GUUUGUCUCUCUCUGUCUGCCUGGCAUCUACAGAAUUUGGAAACUAGUUGAUGCAAUUGGAGAAACUGGUUGUUUUACCAAGGCUUUGACUGGAAGGAUAUGCUUCCCUUUAAGAAACCAAGCUCAACUUACAGAGCUGAUAAAACCCCUUUGGGAAAACUGGCCUCAUACCUUGUCUACACAGUCCCCAUGCAGGGUUCCUAACGUGUGGUGCUGUACUGCAUGAGAAUGCCUGCAUUUAGUAUGCGAACUGGAAUUGGCAAAGGACGAUGGCUGCUCUCCCGCUAACUUUAAAUAAGUCAUGUCACAAAUUGCAUUCGUUCCCAGAUUUCCUAAACUUUCCAGAGAAAAUGGUCUUCUCCCUGGCUCAGCAAGAAGAUGAACUUUAAACACUGAGAAACUGGUCAUCUCCCUGGCUCAACCAGAAGAUGAACUUUAAACACUACUCUCAAUGACUUGAUGUUCCCAUCACUACUCCUGUCAUAAAGGGAGGGGACUCAGAUAUUGAGAAUUUUAUGAUAGUGUGAACUGUCUGGUAUGUCAUUUAAGUAAGCCCGUUGCUGAAAUAUUUUCCAUGUUAUUAGAAAGAGCUGAAGAGAGGGAUUGAGAUGGCUUCUUUAUUUUUUGUCUUUUGGGAAUUAAAGGAACCUGGUUCAACAAGGGCCUACACCUAAGUCUCUUGUUGUACCAGAGUACAAUUUAGGACUGCUCCUGAGGAAGGAAUUAGCUAGAAAUCUAGAGAGUAAGGGUAACAGAUUUACAUAGAAUAACAGCCUCAGUAUUUUUGGUUCCUCUCCAGUAAAGAUCACAAAGAAUAUUGCUAAAUCGCUAAAACACCUUUGCAAUAACGUAAGGGCUUACAACUAUAUACCAAUGUAGCUCAGUUACUAAACUGGAGUAAACUAAUUUCUCUUGUGUAGAAAAAUUGGUUGGCUGUGGUUUUAUAGCAGAUCUGCAAUUAUUAAUAGUUAUGCCAAUAAUCGUUUAACAGUGCAUAUGUUAAUAUAUAUGGAAAGACAAUGUGUAUAGACAGAUGUGUAAAAUUGAAAAAUAAACAUAUAACAAGAGAGAAACAUCUAUCGAACAGACAAUAUACAUACACAUCAAACACAACAGCAGUUUUAGUGACCAUAAUAUUUAUUUCUCAUUUUUACAUUGCUUACUUUAGUGACAACUGAAAAUGACAGUUGGCAAUGCAGCUAACAGUUUCAAUAAAAGUAUAAAACAAAA
rnacentral:lncRNA from 1 species